UUUAUUAUCAGGAUAUGUACCACAGUCCUUUAAAGUAGCUGUAAUUAAACCCCUUCUUAAAAAGUCCACUCUUGACCCAGGGGUUUUAGCCAACUAUAGACCGAUUUCUAACCUCCCGUUCCUCUCUAAGAUUCUGGAGAAAGUAGUCGCCAAAGAGUUGUGUGACUUUCUACAUAACAAUAGUUUAUUUGAGGAUUUUCAGUCAGGAUUUAGAGUUCAUCAUAGCACAGAGACAGCUCUGGUUAAAGUUAAUAAUGAUCUUCUGACUGCUUCUGACAAUGGACUUGUCUCUGUACUUGUAUUAUUAGAUCUUAGUGCUGCAUUUGACACCAUUGACCAUGAUAUUCUUUUACAGAGACUUGAGCAUCAAAUUGGCAUUAAAGGAACUGCCCUAACCUGGUUUAAGUCAUACUUAUCAGAUCGUUCUCAGUUUGUACAUGUUAACGAUGAAUCCUCCAUAAAUACUAAAGUUAGUCAUGGAGUUCCACAAGGUUCUGUACUUGGACCAAUACUAUUUACUUUAUAUAUGCUCCCUUUAGGCAACAUUAUUAGGAAUCACUCCAUUAACUUUCACUGUUAUGCAUAUGAUACGCAGUUAUAUCUAUCAAUCAAA